rnacentral:misc_RNA from 1 species
GUUUGCUCAUCUGUUUUUUUCUUCUUCAUAUCGAAGAGACUCAUGUUUCUUAAGUGGCAGCACUACAGUCCUUUUCACACAAGUAGAGUAUCAUUAAUUUGGUUAUGUCGGUAAAUUGAUAUCACCGUGAGCAGUAGUUUGUGUGUGGUCAUGCAUACUGUCAAGAAAUAAAUUGUUAAACCAGUGGAUGUGACAUUUCAUCUACUAUGCCUUGUUACUGAUCCUUCUUACCUCUUCUAUGAUUUGUCACAUUACUAUUAAAAAAAAUAUUCGAUGAACAAAUUCCAGAAGUUAUUACAACUAAAAAUCAUAGAUUUGAUUGAUGGUGCAUUCAUCCAAUUAACUUUGCUGGGAAUGUACAAUGACUAACUUAAGUAUGUUCUUCUGCAACUGUUAAGUCAUGUCAGAAUGCUCGUUAUAAGUAAGCCUGCAAAUUAGUUUGUCAA